rnacentral:rRNA from 1 species
CCUACGGGUGGCAGCAGUGGGGAAUAUUGCACAAUGGGGGAAACCCUGAUGCAGCGACGCCGCGUGAGUGAGGAAGUCUUUCGGUACGUAAAGCUCUAUCAGCAGGGAAGAAAAUGACGGUAGUUGCCUAAGAAUCCCCGGCUAACAACGUGCCAGCAGCCGCGGUAAUACGAAGGGGGCAAGCGUUAUCCGGAUUUAAUGGGUGGCAAGGGAGCGUAGACGGCAGCGCAAGUCUGGAGUGAAAUCCCAUGGCUUAACCAUGGAACUGCUUUGGAAACUGUGCAGCUGGAGUGCAGGAGAGGUAGGCGGAAUUCCUAGUGUAGCGGUGAAAUGCGUAGAUAUUAGGAGGAACACCAGUGGCGAAGGCGGCUUACUGGACUGUAACUGACGUUGAGGCUCGAAAGCGUGGGGAGCAAACAGGAUUAGAUACCCCGGUAGUC